UACGUAGGGUGCGAGCGUUAAUCGGAAUUACUGGGCGUAAAGCGUGCGCAGGCGGUUCGUUAAGUCAGGUGUGAAAGCCCCGGGCUUAACCUGGGAAUGGCGGUUGAAACUGGCGAACUUGAAUCUGGCAGAGGGGGGUGGAAUUCCACGUGUAGCAGUGAAAUGCGUAGAGAUGUGGAGGAACACCGAUGGCGAAGGCAGCCCCCUGGGCUGAGAUUGACGCUCAGGCACGAAAGCGUGGGGAGCAAACAGG
rnacentral:rRNA from 1 species